rnacentral:rRNA from 1 species
UGUCUCAGUGCAAGCCAUAUUAAGGUGAAACCGCGAAUGGCUCAUUAAAUCAGUUAUGGUUCCUUAGAUCGUACCCACAUUUACUUGGAUAACUGUGGUAAUUCUAGAGCUAAUACAUGCAAACAGAGUUCCGACCAGAAAUGGAAGGAAUGCUUUUAUUAGAUCAAAACCAAUCGGCGGCGGGUUCGCCCGUCCGCCGUUUACUUUGGUGACUCUGAAUAACUUUGGGCUGAUCGCACGGUCUCGUACCGGCGACGCAUCUUUCAAAUGUCUGCCUUAUCAACUGUCGAUGGUAGGUUCUGCGCCUACCAUGGUUGUAACGGGUAACGGGGAAUCAGGGUUCGAUUCCGGAGAGGGAGCCUGAGAAACGGCUACCACAUCCAAGGAAGGCAGCAGGCGCGCAAAUUACCCACUCCCGGCACGGGGAGGUAGUGACGAAAAAUAACGAUACGGGACUCAUCCGAGGCCCCGUAAUCGGAAUGAGUACACUUUAAAUCCUUUAACGAGGAUCCAUUGGAGGGCAAGUCUGGUGCUCCA